rnacentral:lncRNA from 1 species
AGUAGACAGCUUUGCAGGCUGUUCUUGUGUUUGCAGUCCCUGUGUAUAGCCUUCUCAAAAUACAAACGGCAUAUUUUGAGGUUGAAGACCUGAAAACUGUGACCCCUGUUGCCUAGCAACUGAGAAGCUCAGCCUCAACUCCGGGUGGGGGAGAUGAUGGAGAAAGGUACUGCAUUUUGAUAAAUUGAAGGUUUGUGGAACGCUGCAUUGAGCAAGUCUAUUGGUACCAUUUUCCAACAGCAUGUGCUCACUUCAUGUCUCUGUGCCACAUUUGGUUUUUGCAAUCUCCAGGAACGCCAGGCCACAUGAUUGAAACAGUUGUUCAAUUUUUCUUGCUGAAGAUGGUGAACUGGGUUAAGUUUAGAAACAACCAUAGCUGGAAAAAGUAUGACUUUGUUAGCUGCUUACUUCCUUUUCAGAGAAAAAAUACUUUUCUAGUUUCUUUCUUUAGUUACAAAAAUAAUAUGUGCUAAUUAUAACAAGCCAAUCAAUGGAGAGGCCUGCGGAUAUGAAGUUCAUAGUCAUUCAUUCACUCUUCUGCAGAGUGGCUCCCCAAGGCAGCCAACAUUGACAAGCAGGCUUGUGUGUUUCCACACUGUCUCUUGAGCGAGGCUUAUUUAGUCUACACUUGCCUCCUUUAAAGCUGUUCACAAGCAGAUGAGGAUCAAUCUCGGAUUCUAGAAGGAAGAACCCAGCCCCUACUGUUAGAAGGAGCAGUGAAGGCGGCAGGUCAAAGCACAGCCUGGAGCCGACUGUCUGUGUCCAAAUCCCACUUCACCACUUGCUGCAUAACUGGAGCAGAUGAUUCAGCUUUUCUCUGCCUUAACUGACUCAUGUAAAUGGGGAUAUUAAAAUAUCACAUAUGGAUUAUUAUAUUGACUAGGAAGUUAAUGCAAUACAGCAUGCAUAGCAGUUAGUAAGCACUCAAUAAAUGGUAGAUAUUAUUAUUUUCUCUCUUGUGGGAGCAACAAAAGUGAAAAGAAUGACCCUUUGGUAACUGGGGAUCUGAGUAUACACAGACUGUACCAAUCAUAACCACAAUCACCAAAAAAACUACAUUUGUGGAGGCUUAGUGUUAACACAGUCCCAAAACACUUCAUCUAUUGAUUCCCUUAUAUGGCUAGAAUUUAACAUUAAUUCUUUUUUCAUUUUUCAGGAAUAAUAAAGAACAUCAAUAAAAUUAUAGGCAUAAUUUUUAAACAAUUUUAUUGAAGAAUAAUUAUAUGUAAUAAAAUUCACUGGCCGGGUGCAGUGGCUCAUGCCUGUAAUCUCACCACUUUGGGAGGCCAAGGCGGGGGGAUUACUUGAGGCCAAAGUUUAAGACCAGCUUGGGCAAAAAAGCAAAAGCCUGUCUUUACUCUCUCUCUCUCUCUCUCUCUCCAUAUAUAUAUAUAUAUAUAUAUAUAUAUAUAUAUAUAUAUAUAUAUUUUUUUUUUUUUUUUUUUUUUUUUUUUUUAAAUAGCCAGGUGUAGUGGUGUGCGCCUCAAGUCCCAGCUACUUUCAAGGGGCUGAGGUAAGAGGAUUGCUUGAGCCCAGUAGUUGCAGGCUGCAAUGAGCUAUGAUCCCACCACUGUACUCCAGCCUGGGUGACAGAGUGAGACCUUGUCUCUAAAAAUAAAUAAAUAAGUAAAUACAAAUUUUUAAAAAUAAAAAUUCAUCCAUUUUAAGAAUACAAUUAAAUAAGUUUUAGUAAAUUUACCAAGCUGUGCAACCAUCACCACAACCCAGUUUCAGAACAUUUACAUCACCCUUGGAAGCUCCCUCAUGCCUGUUUACAGUUAACCCCAGUUCCUAUCCCCAGCUCUGGGCACCAUUAAUCUACUACUCUCUGUCUCUAUGACUUUGCUUUUUCUGGACACUUCAUAUAAAUGGAUUAUGCAGUAUGUGGCCUUUUGUAUCUGACUUAUUUCGUUAACAUAAUGUUUUAAAGAUCCAUCUACACUGAAGUACGUAUCAGUAUGUGUUCCUUUGUACUGAGGAACUGUAUUCCACUGUAUGGAUAUACCACAGUUUGUUCAUCCAUUCGACAAUGGAUGGACAGUUGGUUGUGUCCACUUUUUAGCUAUUAUGAAUAAUGUCACUAUGAACAUUUGUGUACAAGUUUUUGGGUGGACUUACGUUUUUAUUUCUCUUGGGUAGAUACAUAGAAGUGAAUAUAGUACAUUUAUAUUUAACUUUUUGAAACUAUUAAACUGUUUUCUACAGUGAUCGCACCAUUUUAUAUUCCCACCAGCAAUGUGUGAAGGUUCUACAGGUCUAAACUUAAAGGUCAAAAUAGAAAGAAGAUCUAAAAAUACAUGAAUUCAAGUGCUGAAUGUCCGUUCUCUGACACUGGUUAUCUUCUAAACUCCCCUUUAAUGAAAGGACAGGGAGAAUCCUUCCCCUGCCUUCCCCAGAUUCUCAUUUCCCAUAUUUUGCUGUUUGGCUAAGUGGGGGCUCCCUCACCUCAUUUAGUCCUGCUAAUUCAGGGAAAGCAACCCUGUGCUCCUCCACUCCUAGCAACCCUAAGAGGCUAUCUAAAGUGGAAAGAACAUUUUACAAAUGCAAAUUCAGUCCUUGGGUAUGGCAAGAGAAGAGUUAAUGCAGUUUGUAAUAAUUAUUGACUACAAGAACUGCAAAUGAUUGCAUAAAAUUUCUAAAAUAUGCCUGCAAGGUUCUCUUAUUGAUGUGUUGCCCCCAGGGGUACACAUAUGGGUUUAAGUGUCUAAACUGUUUUAUUAAUUAAAUUGCUAUGAUUUACCUCUCCCAUGUUAGCAUUUACAGUUUAUGAAACAGCCCUGUAAUUAGAAAAUGAUGUACUAGUGUUGCUUGUUUACUUUGUGGGUGAAAUAUUAUACACACACAGAUGUGUAUGUGUAUAUAUAUACACUCACUUAUAUAUGUUUAUAGACACACACAUGUGCACGCGCGCACACACACACACAAAGUGUUUUUUCUUGGGUCAACCCUCAUAGGCUACUUUAUUUCUAGUCCAAUUAAUAGGCAACCUCCAGUGGUGCAUUAAAUUGGUUUUUAGCGGGAGGGGGAGGAUAACUGAGAAGUUCAUUGUUCCUGCUGAGGUGUGUCAUGGCAUCCAUGUAUGUUUGUUUAUUUUCCCUCCAUAGACAGACAAUUGAAAUCACAAGAAUUUAUUGUAAAAAAAAAAAUCUGUUGAGAACAGCCCUGAGGAUACUUCAGCAAAUCCUAAAACUGUACCUACUUUAAUUAUACAGCAUCUUAUUAUCUUCUGCGUCCAUUCUGAAGGUAUAUGUAGGAAUAUAUAAUAUAAAUUACCUGUGCUACAUAGACAAUGCCUAAAUAAAGUUGUUGUUGAAGUGCUU